UAAGGAAUAUUGGACAAUGGAGGCAACUCUGAUCCAGCCAUGCCGCGUGAAGGAAUAAGGCCCUAUGGGUUGUAAACUUCUUUUAGACGGGACAAAACCCCUUUACGUGUAAAGGGUUGAUGGUACUGUCAGAAUAAGCAUCGGCUAACUUCGUGCCAGCAGCCGCGGUAAUACGAAGGAUGCAAGCGUUAUCCGGAAUUAUUGGGUUUAAAGGGCGCGUAGGCGGACUAAUAAGUCAGUGGUGAAAGCCUGCAGCUUAACUGCAGAAUUGCCAUUGGUACUGUUAGUCUUGAGUACAGUUGAGGUAGGCGGAAUGUGUCAUGUAGCGGUGAAAUGCUUAGAUAUGACACAGAACACCGAUUGCGAAGGCAGCUUGCUAAGCUGUAACUGACGCUGAGGCACGAAAGCGUGGGGAGCAAACA
rnacentral:rRNA from 1 species